UCUUAGAGAAAGCAUAUCGAUAGCUGGUGCAUCUCGCGCCGAAAUAUUGCACCACGUGCCGGUAAUUGAGUACGUACAAUCGACUAAAAUAUGACAAAGUGAAUAUUAAAUAUGUGUUAAAUUUUAAAUCCUGUUUGGUUUUGUCAAUUUUACUAUAUUGGUGUUUAAUAUAUUGCAUCACACCGUCGUCAUCCACACCUAGUAUUACACCAUGUGCUGGUUAAUAAGUACCAAAUAGGUACAAUGGACAAGAAUUUAGUGAGACUUCUAUCAAAUGUGUGUUUAAUUCUCAAUUUGUUGUACUUAUAUGUUUUUAUUAGUUUCAUUAUAAUAAUGUUUCAUAUUAUAAGUUGGCGUGGUGAUUGUGAAAUUGCGCAGCAACCAUGAUGCAAAUGGAUGGUCUAUAAUGACGGCAAGUAGUUUCCUCUUUUAAGUCGGGCGGCGCAUGAGGCAUUUUAUUCUUUCAACAAUUGCAUAUAGAAGUUUAUGAUAAUUAAAUCUUUAGAUUUGGUUCACUUUUAGGUGUGGUUUUAUUAGUUUUAGUAUAUCGGUAUAGUGCUUGUAAAAUUGGGGUGGAACCAAGACCCAAAUGGAUCCACUGGAAUCACGAAGCAAGGACUGGCGUACAAGCAGAAAUCCAAUUCGGUGAGAAGUCCUCAAAAACAUUUCAAAAAUAAAAUGAAGAACUCACUAUAACAAAGGAUCUACUUCACAAAUCGUGAAAAAUACACAAUCAGAGGAUAUAGAUGUUAUGAACCAGGACAAGUGAAUACAAACCUUUACAUAAAAAUGUUGUGCCUAAUUUCGGAACUAUAUUUGACCAGGAAGACCAGGAAUUUCAUAACUGAUGUUCUAAUUUUACUAGAUGUUUGGAAAUAAAAAUCAGAAGGAUGGAUUUAAAUGGAAAUUUGCGUUGAAAACGACUUCUUGACCAGUCAAAAGAUACAUGGCUUUAAUGAAGCAACCAUGCAA